UAGUUUUUCUUGCUUUGGAAUCAUUGUACUACUAAAAAUAUGUAAGGAAGGAAUCCCUUUUUUAUUUCAUGGCCCAUGCUAAUGCUAGCUCCAACCGGUCACUAACAAAUAUAUAUUUCAUCACUUGGAUUCCAUGAUCCAACCUAGCAAACAUCUCUCUAACUCUCCAGGAAAAACAUGGUAUGUAACCCAAAGACAAACUCCUUUAUUCCUCAUAAAAGAUGAUGUUCAGCUCCCCCACUCCACCCCCACCAACCUGAAAUUUCAACUUGAUAUGAGUCCUACUUUAUACACCAACCUAAGUACCAACACAUGGAUUUAUAAAAUAAGGUAGCUGCCCUCUUGAUGAUUUGAAAAACAUUGCCAAACUGCAUAUAGUGGUGUAUAUUAAUUUCAUUAUGGCAGUAGCAGAAGUAUCGAUUGCAGUGACUCAAUUGAAGUGUUGCUGCUCAAGCCAUGGCCAAAACGCAGAUUGCUCAUCAAUGNCAGAACAUGUUGCUAAGGCUUUCUUCCUUGACCAUUUGAUCAAUAUUCUUCUGGCAAUGGAUGUGAUCAGGCCUUGAAGAGCUGUUUUGGAAUAGCUGUGCCACACCUGUAGGCCUUAUAGA
rnacentral:misc_RNA from 1 species